AACCUCAUUCUUAGUGAGAAGGGCACUGUGGGUCAUAUUGUCCAGAGUUUGUUAAUGGGGCUAAAUUGAGACACAGGUUCUUCUUACAUCACAGUAAGUAUACUGCAAUGGUGCUAAUGAGACUGCUCAUAUUU
ensembl:snoRNA